CGGUAACGAAGGAAAGACUUUUAACUCUUCUUGCAAUACUGAUCAUCGCCGAAGUAAUUAUGAGAGUGAUGACUGUAAACAACUUUGUUAUUCCCUUCCAAGUACAUCUUCUAAUUAUUUGUAUACUUGUCCUUCCUGCAAUGUUAUUUAUCAACUACAAGCUGUUUCUAGUCGUCAGGAAAAGUCGUAAAAAGAAAAGAUUAUCGCCUGAUAUGAAAAAGACGUUUUCUUUGAAAAAUAUAUCGAGUUGUUUGCUGGCAGUCGCUUGUGUUGUGG